AGGCGGGCAGGUGGGGGCAGGGGCCAUCUGCAGCCCUGCACAGGGCAGCUUUCUCCCCGGCCAUCCUCUGGGGGCAGAACGUGCACCUGGAACCCCCUCGGGUCUUCUCACCAAGUGAGAACCGGUCCCGAGCAGGCCCCCCGUCCACGCCACCCUCCCCACGCCCGCCCCGCUGCGGGCCCGGAUUCACAGUGAGGAGCCCUGCGUCUCUCAACCACACUGUGCAAGGCCACCUCGGGUCGCUUCACCCCGUCCCCCUCCGAACAUGGGCUCUCUCGGGGAGCGCCCCCGCCCUCCCUCUGAGGACGGGGAGGCUUUCCAAGGACCUUGGGGUGUCGGCUCCCUCAGCUCGCAGAUUCGUGUUUCCUUUUAUCCUCGGAGAAACGGAAUGCAAAGGGGAAGGCAAAAGCAGAAAGACGCAGGAAGGUGAGUGGUCUCGUGCCUCGGGCCAGCCGCGUCCCUGAGACCCAGGAAAGGCCCCGGGCGUCUGAGGCCUCGCCCCGCCAGGGCGGCUGGUCCAAACCUCCUCCUUCAGCGUCCUGCCAGGCACUGCUUUUGUUCUUUGCCCAACGCCAAGCUGAGCCCCCACAUCCUGCAGGCUCGCGGCAGAAGGGCAGAGAAAUGCCUCUGGGUCCACACCAGGCAAGAGCCGCCUGGCCCCCGUCCAAGACGGGCAUUGGAAGGGCCUGACUUCCUGCCGUGACGCCCCCCUGCAUUUCCAGUGUGGCGAGCAGCCGGCCGGCCCAAGAAAACAGCGCCACGGGGUUUUGGAUCACCGCAGGGGAGAGUUUUCGCAGGCCCCGGUAGCUUCCUGGGGAAGGUGGCAGGGCUCCCGAAACGAUGAGGGCUUUGGGGGUAUUCUGCUGCGAGCUGGCCAGAGGUGGGAAAACCGACCCGCACCCCAGAGCUGAAAACCACACGGUUCCAAAACGCGGGGGCUUUAAAGAGCAGCCUUCUGGCCGCCCCACAGACCGGCCCACAUGCCCGCGGGGGAGCCCUGCUCCAGCCUGAGACCCAGGGCGCACCCGCUCCUCGUAGCCGGGACUCUGAGGUCACCGAUGCGCAGGAUGGUGGCUUUCAAAUCGCUCUGCGGACCGACAGUUUGUGGCAAACGUCGAAAAAGUUAUUUCAAGUCGACGGACUCAAAGUGGGAUAUCGUCUGGCAAGAGGAGGAGGGGAGAGGAGGCCCAUUUUCUCCAGGUGAACGCGGGCCCCUGUCCAGAGGGCCCAGGGUCUCUAAGCCAGGCCUGGGUGAGAGCCAGGAGGCGGGAGGGCCCGCGGGUGCCCCGGCCAGCCCCCGUGCGGCCCUCCAUCCACCACGGGACCCCAGGCUCUGCGCGCCUGCCUCAUUCCCUCCUUCCGCGACCCUCUGGUGUCUCCUCUAACCUUUGGCCUGUUACCCUGUGAGAGAGAGGUCUUCCUUCGUCCUGGGCAGGCGCCCGACAGGUAACCCGCAUUGUAACCUCGUAUGAUACUAGCACCCGGUUAUUUUUGACCGUGUUGGCCCGUGCCCGGGCCUGCCUGGCUGUGGGACCCCGCUCCGGCUGCUGCCAGGGUCCCAGGGCCGCUCCUCUACAGGCUGCCGUGACCGCGUGGGGCCGGGGGCACCUGGCGACCACCGCCGGCAAAGGAGCCGCGCGGAUGUGCCCGUGACGCGGGUAAGCACGGUCCUUCCGGUGGCAUGACGCGAACCGCGAGACCUCAGGGCCUGUCCCUGUCUGCGGCCUCAAGACGCGGCGCACCGGAGCCCCCCCUCCCUUCGCCAGCAGGUGCGCGGGCUCCUGACGGAGGACUCAGAAGCAAUUUAGAGCUGAUACCCUGAACAAGAGGAAGGUUACAAGAUUAAGACCAACUGCUGUUUGGAUAAAUGGAUUUAUUCGGAAGGAGCCCACCUUGGUCGUCUUCUGCCGAGCCUUGGUGACGUCAUACUCCACCUCGUCCAUCAGGGCCCUGCAUGCUAGACAAGACACGAAGCGUCUGUUAUCUCUGGAAGGCGCAGAGUAAGGCCGCUCGGAACCGGCCGCUAGCUCGACCCUCAGCCAGGGCGUCCCCGUCAACAGGGAAGGACUCUCGUCCCCCGAGCACAGGUGUGCAGCUUUUCAAAGACAGGUUUGAACCAUCUGAGACUGAGACAGAACGCAGAACCAACUGAGACCGAUUUUCUUUGUAUGGCCCUUUGUACUCUGUGGUUUUUAAAACCAUGUAUGUUUUACGUAUUCAUUUAAAAUAUGCAUGUUUGGGGGCGCCUGGGUGGCUCAGUCAGCUAAGCAUCUGACUUCAGU